rnacentral:rRNA from 1 species
CCUACGGGUGGCAGCAGUGAGGAAUAUUGGUCAAUGGGCUUACGCCUGAACCAGCCAAGUCGCGUGAGGGAAGACUGCCCUAUGGGUUGUAAACCUCUUUUGUCAGGGAGCAAGUGGCGCUACGUGUAGCGUUAUCGAGAGUACCUGAAGAAAAAGCAUCGGCGAACUCCGUGCCAGCAGCCGCGGUAAUACGGAGGAUGCGAGCGUGAUCCGGAUUUAUUGGGUUGAAAGGGUGCGUAGGCGGAAUGCCAAGUCAGCGGUAAAAUCGCGGGGCUCAACCUCGCGCCGCCGUUGAAACGGGCGUUCUUGCGUGGGCGAGAAGUCUGCGGAAUGCGUGGUGUAGCGGU